rnacentral:lncRNA from 1 species
AAGGUGGAGGGUGAGAAGGCUAGCACUCCUUGCGCUGGCCUCCGUCACGUUUCUAUCGGCUGUGGGGAAUUGGGAAGAAGAGCUUUGAGCCACUCGCUCUGCCAGGUAAUGUGGCUACGACACGGCCCGCUGUAGCGCCGGGCCUGAGUCUUAAAUCUGAGGUUAAUUCUGAACGAUGCUCCGGCUUGCGGCCCCCUUCGCCUGGCCCCGGCCGAACCACAGAGCCCUAUUCAGGCUUUGAGGGACUGAAGAGCUCAAGCGGCGCCCUUUGCCAAGUCCAUGCAUACCACCGCUUCCGCCAGACACUCGGGUCUCUGAGGCACCUACUCUGAGAGCUCCAAAGAGAGGGUGAGGCCAGUUCUCCCCUUUCCCAAGAAGAGUCUGAGACUGAAACCUUGAUGCUGAGAACACCUUUCCCCUUUCUGAUGCAAGCAGCUUGCAGAUUGUUAAUGCCGGAGCCUGAGGCAAGAAUGUCACAGACCUUUCCCAGGUGUUUGUUAAGGUUCUCCCAACAGGACAAUAAACUCAUCUGGAAGGCAGAGGGCCUGCCCAUUCAUAAACCUGUUGAUGUGGUCCCCAGAGUACCAGUUUAAGAUGAUAAGACCAACACUGUUGAUUCUGGGGCCAGAACUGGGACAAGUCCUUGAUCCGUCUACACUAGCUGUAUACACCAUCUACCUCCUGAGAGGAUUCAUUUUUCUUCCUAUACUCAUGAUUCUAAGAAAUCGUAAAAGCUUAUAAAUGUGCAUAUGUCAUUCCUAUGCUUUAAAAUUCCUGAUGCUUCCCAUUGUACUUAAAACACAGAUUCCUGGAGUUCCCAUUGUGGCUCAGUGAGGAUGUGGAUUCAAUCCCUGGCCUCACUCAGUGGAUUAAGGAUCCAGCAUUGCCACAAACUGCAGCAUAGGUUGCAGAUGCAGCUCAGAUCCAGUGUUGCCAUGGCUGUGGCACAGGCCCCGGUUGCAGCUCUUACUUGACCCUUAGCCCAGGAACUUCCAUGUGCCUCAGGUGUGGCAAAAACAAAACAAACAAAAAAACAAUGAGAUCCCUUAAGCGGUUCUAAAUCCCUCAUAUGGUGUGGCUCCUUCCUGCUUCUUCACCUGAUCGCACCUCCUGCCAUUCAUUAUUUUUGGGCUCUGCCAGGCUUGUUGCUGCAUUGGAAUGGAGCAUGUACUUUCCCACCAGCCAGGAUAUCCUGCCCCACCUCCCACCAUGUUGCUGCCUCCUGACCAUUCAAAUUCAGCUCAAAGGCACCUUAAGAGAGAGGCCUUUCCUAAAUAGUCAAUGUGAAGUAGUCACCACUCCCCCAAGCUCUUCUCGGUCACUUCAUCCUUGCCUUAUUUUCUCCAUUGUACUGAACAAUCUGAAGUUACCUUAUAUAGCUAUUUACUUCCUUGCUAAUUGAGAGAUUCACCCACUAGAAGGUGCAGGCAUACCUGGAAAUAUUGCAGGUUUAGCUCCAGACUUCUGCAAUAAAGUAAACUACACAGAUUUUUUUGGCUUCCCCAGUGCAUAUAAAAGUUAUGUCUGUACUGUACAGUGGUCUAUUAAGUGUGCAAUAGCAUUACAUGUAAAAAAUGUACAUAACUUAAUUAACAAAUAUUUUAUUGCUAAAAAACGCUAACCAUUAUCUGAGCCUUCAGCAAGUCAUGAUCUUUUCACCAUUGUAACAUCAAAGAUCACUGAUCACAGAUUGCCACAACAAAGAGAAUAAUUGAAAAGUUUGAAAUUUGUGAGGAUUACCACAAUGUGACACAGAGAACCAAGUGAGCAAAUGCUUUUGGGAAAAUGGCACUGAUAGACUUGCCUGAGGCAGGUUUUGUCAGCCUUCAGUUUGUAAAAAAAAAUGCAGUAUCUGUGAAGUGCAAUAAAGCAAAGCUCGCUAAAACUCGGUAUGCCCCUACUGCUAUCUGAAAGCAGGAACCUUGUCUGUCUAAUGCUCCCAUUGCAUCCCCAGGACCAAGCACAGCGCCUGCCACCAAAUUAGAGUCUCAAUAAAUAUUUACUAAUUUCAGACUCAGGAUCAAGUUCAGUUGUUCUCUGUGUACCGGCAAUAUUUGCUUGCCCCAUUGAUGUUUUUUGCAUAAUCAAAAUAUGCAAGAUCUUUUUUGCAUAGUCAAGAUAUGUUCCCAAAUAUGAAAAUAUUCUU